AUGAUGGCAGUGGAGAAAUGGAGAGCUUACUUGCAAAGAGGACCUUUUAUUAUCAAAACCGAUCAUCAGAGUUUGUGUCAGUUAGGGGAUCAAAUUCUCACAUUUGAUCUUCAACGAAAAGCCAUGACUAAACUGGUGGGACUUCAGUUUCAGUUUCAGUAUAAAAAGGGGACUGAAAACACUGUGGCUGAUGCAUUAUCAAGAGUAGGACAUCUGCUUGCGGUGUCUGCAACUUCUCAGAGUCAACCGGUGUGGAUGCAAGAGGUGGUGAAUUCUUAUGAAGUGGACCCUAAAGCACAACAAUUAAUACAACAGCUAGCAGUUUCUACUGAGAAUGCAGAAGGAUUUUCCUUGCAGCAAGGGAUAAUCAAAUUUCAAGAUAGAAUUUGGAUUGGAGCAAAUUCAGCUCUAAAAACCAAAUUAAUAUCUGCAUUUCAUGAUAGUGCAAUGGGAGGCCAUUCGGGGAUACUUGCUACUUACCAGAGAGUUGACAAACUGUUUGCUUGGUCAGGAUUGAAGAAUGAUGUGACUGAAUAUGUGCAACAAUGUGACAUUUGUCAGAAAGCAAAACAUGAACAUUGCAAGUACCCUGGCCUUCUGAAUCCUUUGCCUAUUCCUGAGGGCCCUUGGCAGCAAGUGACUAUGGAUUUCAUCGAAGGACUCCCUAAAUCUGCUGGGUACAAUGUCAUAUUGGUGGUGGUUGAUAGACAUACUAAAUAUGCCCAUUUCAUUCCUCUUAAACAUCCCUUUUCUGCUCCUGUUGUGGCCAAAGCAUUUUUGGAGGCAGUGGUUAAAUUGCAUGGACCUCCACUUACUAUAGUAUCUGACAGAGACAAGGUUUUCACAAGCAACUUUUGGAGGGAUCUGUUCAAACUAUGGGACACCAAGUUGCACAUGUCUACUGCAUACCACCCACAAACUGAUGGUCAGAGUGAGAGAGUCAAUCAGUGCUUGGAAAUGUAUUUGAGGUGUGCAGUACAUGAUACUCCAACCAAAUGGCAGACUUGGCUUCCUCUUGCUGAAUUCUGGUACAAUACCAAUUUCCAUUCUUCCUUGGGAUGCUCUCCUUUCAAGGCCUUGUAUGGGUAUAAUCCUAGCUAUGGAUUCUUUUCUUCUCUGCUCCAAUCUGACAACAUUGAAGUUGAACAGUGGCUCAGGGAACACCAGGCUCACUCAGCAGUCUUAAAAGCUAACUUAAUGAGAGCUCAAGCAAAAAUAAAACACUAUGCAGAUGCACGCAGAUCGGACAGAUCAUUUUCAGUGGGUGACUAUGUGUAUCUGAAGCUCUAG
rnacentral:rRNA from 1 species